AAAUAAAUUUUUUAUGGUUUUAAAAAUUUAUUUUAAAAUUUAUUUUACAUAUAAAUUUUAGUGUUAAUUAUUAAUUAUUUAAAUAAUAAUUAAUUAAAAUUGUAGUAAUUAACUUUAAAUUAUUUAAGGAAUUAAGAUUUAGUAAUAUUAAAAUUAAUAACUAAUUUUGUGCCAGCAGUUGCGGUUAUACAAAAAUUAAUUUAAAUUUUUUUAGCAUUUAAUUAGUAGUUAAUUAAAUUAAUUUAAAUUUUAAAUUAUAAAGUGAAAUUUUAAUUUAAUAAAAAAUUAUUAUAUAAUUAUGAUUUAAUAAAUUUUAUAAAAAACUAGGAUUAGAUACCCUAUUAUUAAAAAAUAAAUUUAAAAUGCUUAAAUAGUAUAUAAUUAUUUAUUGAAACUUAAAUAAUUUGGCGGUAUUUUAGUUUAUUUAGAGGAAUCUGUUUAAUAAUUGAUAAUCCACGAAUAAAUUUACUUAUUUUAUUAUUUUGUAUAUCGUUGUUAAAAAAAUAUUUUUUAAUAAUAAUAAUAUUUAAAUUUUUUUAAAUAAAGUUAAAUCAGAUCAAGAUGCAGAUUAUAAUUAAGAAUAUAAUGGAUUACAAUAAAUUUAUUUAAUUGGAUUUUAUUUUGUAAUAAUUAAAUGAAAUUGGAUUUAAAUGUAAUUUUAUUUAAAUUAAUAAAAUGAUUUAUUAUUAAAAUAUGUACAUAUUGCCCGUCGCUUUCAUUAAUAAAUUGAAAUAAGUCGUAACAAAGUAGAGAUACUGGAAAGUGUUUCUAGAAAGAU
rnacentral:ncRNA from 1 species